rnacentral:rRNA from 1 species
AUGCUGCGCAACAAGUAUCUAGGCCAAAAGGCGGUGUCUCAGGCAUAUUGGAAACCUGGCGACUCACACUUUUGGGCUGGCCUAACGGUGGCAAAGAAACAACUCUUUCGCUUUGGGUCUUUCGCGAUAAAGGACAGGUCAGAGAUUCGUUUCUGGGAAGACAUCUGGCUAGGCAAUGCCAGUCUCCGAGAACAAUAUCCAGCCUUGUACAACAUUGCUCGCGAUAAGAACAAUACUAUUAUGCAGGUGCUCAGCUCAUCCCCGCCGAAUAUUUCGUUCAGGCGGGAUUUGGUUGGCGCCCGACUUAUGUCAUGGCAUAAUCUCUUAUCCCGUCUGGAUCUGAUUAACCUGACGCAAGGCCGUGAUGUGUUUCGCUGGAACCUUACUACAUCGGGGUCUUUCACGGUA